UUAGUACAAAGGGCAGCCAACUCGCAAGAGUGAGCGAAUCUCAUCAAACCCUGCCUCAGUUCAGAUUGCAGGCUGCAACUCGCCUGCAUGAAGGAGGAAUCGCUAGUAAUCGCAGGUCAGCAUACUGCGGUG
rnacentral:rRNA from 1 species